UACGAAGGGGGCUAGCGUUGCUCGGAAUCACUGGGCGUAAAGCGCACGUAGGCGGAUUGCUAAGUCAGGGGUGAAAUCCUGGAGCUCAACUCCAGAACUGCCUUUGAUACUGGCGGUCUCGAGUCCGGGAGAGGUGAGUGGAACUGCGAGUGUAGAGGUGAAAUUCGUAGAUAUCAGGAGGAACACCAAUGGCGAAGGCAGCUCACUGGGACGGUAUUGACGCUGAGACGCGAAAGCGUGGGGAGCAAACAGG
rnacentral:rRNA from 1 species